rnacentral:rRNA from 1 species
GAUGAACGCUAGCGGCAGGCUUAAUACAUGCAAGUCGAGGGGCAGCAGGGUGUAGCAAUACAUCGCUGGCGACCGGCAAACGGGUGCGGAACACGUACGCAACCUUCCUUCAAGUGAGGAAUAGCCCAGGGAAACUUGGAUUAAUACCUCGUAACAUUGUGAAGUGGCAUCACUUUACAAUUAUAGCUCAGGCGCUUGGAGAUGGGCGUGCGACUGAUUAGGUAGUUGGCGGAGUAACAGCCCACCAAGCCUGCGAUCAGUAACUGGUGUGAGAGCACGACCAGUCACACGGGCACUGAGAC